ACUUAGCUCAGUAGGUAGAGCAACUGACUUGUAAUCAGUAGGUCACCAGUUCGAUUCCGGUAGU
rnacentral:tRNA from 1 species